rnacentral:pre_miRNA from 1 species
AAUAAGUGGUCGUGGGAAUCCGUGUUCAACGUUUGACUGUCCGUUUUAUUUGAAAAAUUUAUGAGAAAAUUUAAAAAAGUUAGUCGCACGUAAAGUACUAUUCAUGUUUUAUCAUCUAAUAACAAUAAAAAUAUUAAUCGUAAAAAGUUUUCAAAUAAGAUAAACGGUCAAACGUCGUCAGACAUAAAAGCUUCACUUAUU